rnacentral:tRNA from 1 species
GGGCCUGUAGCUCAGUUGGUUAGAGCGUACGACUGAUAAUCGUAAGGUCGGUGGUUCGACUCCACUCAGGCCCA